rnacentral:rRNA from 1 species
GAUGAACGCUGGCGGCGUGCCUAACACAUGCAAGUCGAGCGAUUUACUUCGGUAAAGAGCGGCGGACGGGUGAGUAACGCGUGGGUAACCUGCCCUGUACACACGGAUAACAUACCGAAAGGUAUGCUAAUACGAGAUAAUAUGCUUUUAUCGCAUGGUAGAAGCAUCAAAGCUUUUGCGGUACAGGAUGGACCCGCGUCUGAUUAGCUAGUUGGUAAGGUAACGGCUUACCAAGGCGACGAUCAGUAGCCGACCUGAGAGGGUGAUCGGCCACAUUGGGACUGAGACGCGGUCCAAACUCCUACGGGAGGCAGCAGUGGGGAAUAUUGCACAAUGGGCGAAAGCCUGAUGCGGCAACGCCGCGUGAGCGAUGAAGGCCUUCGGGUCGUAAAGCUCUGUCCUCAAGGAAGAUAAUGACGGUACUUGAGGAGGAAGCCCCGGCUAACUACGUGCCAGCAGCCGCGGUAA